UGGAGAGGUGCAUGAGUGGUUUAAAUGGCAGUCCUGGAAAGACUGUGUUCCGCAAGGAACCGCAGGUUCGAAUCCUGUCCUCUCCGG
rnacentral:tRNA from 1 species